UCUUGUGUGUUUUUUAUUACAGGGAUUAGAGUUCUCUUUGUUUUAUGUGUGUGUUAUGAUUCAUCGUUUGUAGUUUUUAUGUGGUUUAUGUGGGUCUACUUUUGGUUAAUAUGGUUGGAUAAUGGUAGAAUAAGUAGGUGUUGUGAUUGGUCUUGUUUUUUCUUGGCUGUUCUCGGUCUGUUUAUUAAAAACAUUUCUAUUCGGAUUUAUGGAUAGUAGUGCCUGCCCAGUGCUUUGUAAAUGGCCGCAGUAUUUUGACUGUGCUAAGGUAGCAUAAUUAGUUGCCUCAUAAUUGGAGGAUUGUUUGAAAGGUUUGACUUGGGAAUUUGGCUAGAUUUGGGCUUGGGCUGAAAUUGGAG
rnacentral:rRNA from 1 species